CCAGUAGCGUAUAUUAAAGUUGUUGCAGUUAAAAAGCUCGUAGUUGAAUUUCGGGAUCAGUACGCUGGUCGUGCCUCGGUAUGUACUGGUGUUACUGGUUCCUACCUUCUGACGAACCGUCAUGUCAUUAAUUUGGUGUGGCGGGGAAUCAGGACUGUUACUUUGAAAAAAUUAGAGUGUUUAAAGCAGGCUCGCGCUUUAAUACAUUAGCCUGGAAUAAUGAAAUAGGACGUUCGAUCCUAUUUUGUUGGUUUCUAGGAUUGACGUAAUGAUUAAUAGGGAUAGUUGGGGGCAUUAGUAUUCAAUUGUCCGAGGUGAAAUUCUUGGAUUUAUUGAAGACUAACUACUGCGAAAGCAUUUGCCAAGGAUGUUUUCAUUAAUCAAGAACGAAAGUUAGGGGAUCGAAGACGAUCAGAUACCGUCGUAGUCUUAACCAUAAACUAUGCCGACUAGGGAUCGGAUGAUGUUAAUUUUUUAAUGACUCAUUCGGCGCCUUACG
rnacentral:rRNA from 1 species